UACAGAGGGGGCAAGCGUUGUUCGGAAUUACUGGGCGUAAAGCGUGCGCAGGCGGCUUUGCAAGACAGAUGUGAAAUCCCCGGGCUAACCUGGGAACUGCAUUUGUGACUGCAUGGCUAGAGUGCGGCAGAGGGGGAUGGAAUUCCGCGGUGUAGCAGUGAAAUGCGUAGAUAUGCGGAGGAACACCGAUGGCGAAGGCAAUCCCCUAGGCCUGCACUGACGCUCAUGCACGAAAGCGUGGGGAGCAAACAG
rnacentral:rRNA from 1 species